rnacentral:tRNA from 1 species
GUGGCUCAGUGGUAGAGCGCUUGCCUUGCAUGUAUGAGGCCUGAGUUCGACUCCUCAGC